UACGGAGGGUGCAAGCGUUGUCCGGAUUUAUUGGGUUUAAAGGGUGCAUAGGCGGCCCUUUAAGUCUGAUGUGAAAGCCCACGGCUCAACCCUGGAACUGCCAUUGAUACUGAUGGGCUUGAGUUCGGUCGAGGCGGGCGGAACUGGUGGUGUAGCGGUGAAAUGCAUAGAUACCACCAAGAACCCCGAUUGCGUAGGCAGCUCGCUAGGCCGAAACUGACGCUGAGGCACGAAAGCGUGGGGAGCGAACAGG
rnacentral:misc_RNA from 1 species